AUGAUGAUCAUCAUGAUCCUAUUUAUAGAUUCUUUUGCAUUAUCUGUAAGGAAGAGGUUUCUGCUGCAAGAAAGAAAAAAAUUCAUACAGUAAGAAGUUGCCGCCCACUCUGUUCAAAUGAAGCUGUCUGAAGUACCAAGUAGAACAAUGUAUUAUUUCUGGAACAACUUAAUUGAAGUGAAGCUUACUAUGUGAAGGAGUUUUUCUGUAUUCAAAAGGAAACUUCAGCAUACAGAAUACCAAUUUAGAUAUUUGUAGCUUCAGUUAUGGGAGUACACAAGAUUAAUUGAACUGGAAUCCCUUCAGACGUUGACAUAGCUAAAUUUCGCAGUUUCAACUAUAAAUGGACAUUAAAUUAAUAUACAUUGGUUUUAU